CCCUCACUCCUCCCUCCUGCACAGAGCCUCUCGGGCAGCAGAAGCCACUCGGUGUGCCAGAGACGUGCCAGCGUGCGAUCGCUGUGUGAGAAAUGGAUUUGGAAUAUUUGGAAUCAGAAGAGGCUUCUAGGCGGAGUAAUGCCCGAUAACACUGUCACUAAAAGAACAGCCUGAGUCCCUUUAGGACAUUUUGUGAUCCCAAUCGUGUCUGGGAAUCGUCCUUCAGGCAAUUGUGGCUGUGACAGAUAAUGCAACGUAACAGAGCCGACACAACUCACUUACAAAUUAGGUUAAACGGGG
ensembl:lncRNA